rnacentral:lncRNA from 1 species
CACCGAUCAGCUUGCAUGAAGUGACUUAUUGCAUGAUCGCAUUGCUGCUUGUCAACUGAAAAUUUGAGUUACCAGUGUAUUGGUGGCAGUACAGUAAUGGGCGCAAUGUCUGCAUUGAAGGAGGAAGCGUUGGAGGAAUAAUCAGAGCAUUCUGGAAUCUUUGCAGGCRGAUUCUGCGUUUGAGCCUAAAACUCCAGUCAGGUGCCUGUGCCAAACAGCAGUUACAGUGACUCACUGCUGUGAAAAAGUUACAAUUCUGAAUCAAAGGAGACAAGGACACAUGGUACAAGCCGUUCAUCCAUUCAUGAGGAGAACAAAACCUGCAACUGUUUUAUCAGAUUGCCUGGUGGAUCCUGUGGGCCUUUUGGCACUUAGCAGCACAGUACCCAAGUGCCUUUGUGGAACAUGCAUUGGAAAUUUCCAUAAUUUUUUAGCUGAGGAUUUAGGAAAAGUGCCUUUCCUCAGCUGGAAAGCUGGAACUGAAGAGGGACCAGGGACUUUGCAGAUGGAAAAACUGGGACAAAAGAGCAGCAAAGAAGCAACUGUKGUGUUCUUGUAGAAAUGGUCCACGCACAGGAAAUCCAGACGUAGAAGAAGGCAAGAAACUGAGGGAAGGCAACGUCAUGGAUGUAAAGGAGAAACACUUAGAGAGCAAAACAGUCUUUAGGAAAGGAUUUAUUUAAAAGGAGGUGAUGUUUUUUAAAGACAUGAUAUGAAAGCAGAGAGAAGUUUGAAUUUGAUUUGCUGGCCUCUUUAAGUAACAUAGGUUUUCUCAUAUAAGAAGGUGGAUCCUUGCUGGACAAUACUGUGAGUAUACAAGCAAGAGGAUUUGAGGAACUAGUGAUAGGGAGAUUUCCCUUUUUAAUUCAUUUUACUUUUCCAUAAUAUCCUCAGGAAAACUAAUACAUUUGGUUGGCAUAUUAGUGUUGGGGACUGUCUUUGAGCUGCCAUUCUUAUAUUCAGUUCUAUUAAAAAAUACACAGUGUGGAUAUUUUGCAACUUUAAACUUGUGUUUGUAACUUUUUUCCUUCUGCUUUUCUUAAAAGUAUUUUGUAUUUCUGUCUCUCUGGAGCCAAAAGAGUUGCCACACUGCAGCUCAGGGACUGCUUUCUCGUGGUAUCCCCUCGCAAGAUACUGCACAGGUAUAUACUGUCUGUUCUAGGCUGUAGUCCCUGUGCCAGCGUAUUAUCGUGCCAGGCUCGGARCUAGACCAACAUUUAUGGGCCUGUUGUCUUUGAUUUGUCUAAUCCCCAUUUUAAAUUUACUGAGCAAAUCUGCCUUCACAACCMACAAUGACAGCAAAUUGUGGAAGUUCACUACCUGCUGCGUAGAAAAGACACCUCUUUAUUUUCAGUGCAACUUUUUUGCAAGACUUAAAGGCUGG